AAACAAAUAAGUUUGGUCCUAGCCUUUCUAUUAGCUCUUAGCAAGAUUACACAUGCAAGCGUCCCCGCCCCAGUGAGGACACCCUAUAAAUCACCACGAUCUUAUGGAGUAAGUAUCAAGCACGCAUAAUGCAGCUGAAAACACUUUGCUCAGCCACACCCCCACGGGAGACAGCAGUGACAAGCCUUUAGCAAUAAACAAAAGUUUAACUAAGCUAUGCUACAAUAACGGUUGGUCAAUUUCGUGCCAGCCACCACUGCCAUAUGAUUAACCCAAGCUAAUAGAGACUGGCCUAAAGAGGGUUUUAGAUCUAGUCGAAUAAAGCUAAACUCCAUCUAAAUUGUAAAACCUUAGCUGAUGUAAAAUAAACUAUGAAAGUGGCUUUAAAAUUUCUGAACACACAAUAGCUAAGACUCAAACUGGGAUUAGACACCCCACUAUGCUUAGCCUUAAACUUCAAUAGUUAGAACAACAAAACUACUCGCCAGAAUACUACAAGCAACAGCUUAAAACUCAAAGGACUUGGCGGUGCUUCACAUCCCUCUAGAGAAGCCUGUUCUAUAAUCGAUAAACCCCGAUCCACCCCACCCUCUCUUGCUCAGCCUAUAUACCGCCAUCCUCAGUAAACCCUGAUAAGGCCACGAAGUCAGCAUAACUGUCCUCUCAAAAAGGUUAGGUCAAGGUGUAGCCUAUGAGACGGAAAAAGAUGGGCUACAUUUUCUAUCCCAGAAAACCCCAGGAUAACUCUUAUGAAACCUAAGAGUCCAAGGAGGAUUUAGCAGUAAAUUAAGAAUAGAGUGCUUAAUUGAACAAGGCCAUAAAGCACGCACACACCGCCCGUCACUCUCCUCAAGUAUAUUUAACGACUAACUUAACUAAACACCCCUAGCGUUUAUAUAGAGGAGAUAAGUCGUAACACGGUAAGUGUACUGGAAGGUGCACUUGGUUAAAUCAAAGC
rnacentral:ncRNA from 1 species